rnacentral:rRNA from 1 species
CGCCUUGGCAGUGCGUCUUAAGCAUGCAAGUCAAACGGGAUGUAGCAAUACAUCUAGUGGCGAACGGGUGAGUAACGCGUGGAUGAUCUACCUACGAGAUGGGGAUAACUAUUAGAAAUAGUAGCUAAUACCGAAUAAAGUCAAUUAAUUUGUUAAUUGAUGAAAGGAAGCCUUUAAAGCUUCGCUUGUAGAUGAGUCUGCGUCUUAUUAGCUAGUUGGUAGGGUAAAUGCCUACCAAGGCGAUGAUAAGUAACCGGCCUGAGAGGGUGAACGGUCACACUGGAACUGAGAUACGGUCCAGACUCCUACGGGAGGCAGCAGCUAAGAAUCUUCCGCAAUGGGCGAAAGCCUGACGGAGCGACACUGCGUGAAUGAAGAAGGUCGAAAGAUUGUAAAAUUCUUUUAUAAUAUGAGGAUAUAAGUCUUUGUGAGGAAAUGCACAAAGUGAUGCACGUAAAUUUGAUGAAAUAAGGUCCG